UGUUGUUGCUUGUGUCCCUGGAACCAGCCAUGCCUGAAGUGGAUAUGCACUGAAGCUUAUAAUGACAUAAGCCAAUAAAUUCAUUUUCUGUUUUUCUAAAUAAAUUAAUUAAUUAAUUUUAAUUUUUUUAAAAGUAGGCUCCGCACCCAGUGUGGGGCUUGAACUUAGGACUCUGAGCUCAAGAGCUGCAUGUUCUACCAACUGAGCCAGCCAGGAGCCCCUCAUUCUCUUUUGAGACUGAUUUGAGUUGGGCUUAGGAAAGCCACAACCAAAAGAAUUCACACGUAAUAACAGCCCUUGCCCCAUCCAUCCUGCCACCAAGCAUGCAGGGGGAAGUAGGUUCAACUCGAACAGCCUUAAGUUAAAAAAAGAAGAAGAAUUCAUUGACUCACAGAAUAGGAAAGCCCAGGAGUUUUCGUCAGCUUCAAGCGCAGCUGGGACCAGGUGCUCAAAUGGUUCUAGGGUGAAGGCUUUUUAUACAUCAUCUCAUCUAAACCUCAGGCCAAGAAGCAGGAGUAAAAACCCCAUUUAUGGAGGGAGAGACUGAUGCUCAGAGAAGUUAAGUUACACAGAGAGAGAGUGAACGGGGAGACAAGCAGAGGGAGAAGGAGAGAGACAAUCACAAGUAGAGUCCACGCCAGAGUGUGGAGCCCCACGCAAGGCUCGACCCCACGACCCCACGAUCCCAAGACCACGACCGGAGCCAAAACCAAGAGCCAGAUGCCCAACCAACUGAGCUACCCAGGAGCCCCUUGAUUUGAUAUUUUUAGAAACUUGUGACCCAAUUCAUUGUUCCCUCUUUAGAAAUUGUAACAGGCGUGCAUUGGUUUCCCGUGGAUGGGGUGACAAAUAUCCAUCACAAACUUGGUGGCUUAAAAUGACAGAAAUUUAUGCCCUCAGCCAUCUGGAGGCUAGAAGUCCACAAUUAAGGUGUCUGCAGGGGUGGCUCCUUUUGGAGGCUCUGAGGGAGCAUUUACCCCAUGCCUGUCUCUUAGCUUCUGGUGGUUGUCAGCAACGGAUUGUCACCAAGGAGGGUGUCCCUUGGCUUUGUGACCACAUGGCUCUGAUCCCCUGCCUCUGUCUUCACGCUCCUUCUCUGUGUCUGUCCUCUAAUAAACAUACCCACCACUGGACUUGGGCCCUCUCUAAUCCAGUAUGACCUCAUCUUUUUUUUUUUUUUUGAAGAUUUUAUUUAUUUAUUUGACAGAGACAGACACAGCGAGAGAGGGAACACAAGCAGGGGGAGUGGGAGAGGGAGAAGCAGGCUUCCCGCAGAGCAGGGAGCCCGAUGCGGGGCUCGAUCCCAAGACCCUGGGAUCAUGACCUGAGCCGAAGGCAGACGCUCAACGACUGAGCCACCCAGGCGCCCCAGUAUGACCUCAUCUUAAUGAUACGCUACCCAAAAAUAUGGCACUUGGGGUACAUUGAAUGUUUUAAGCUGAAGGAAUCUGAGAAACACAGGGGCAGGAAGGACUUUUUGAAGCAGGUCAUACAUAGACCCUCCGGUGAAAGGUGCCCUCCCAGUGCUGGGAGGAACGGGGCACUCUUAUCUCGGAAGACCGAGGGAAGCCGGGAGAAUCUGAAGGAACAGGCCGCGCUAAGUUUCCCCGUUUGCUACUCUUAGCUCACAUCCCUUUUUGUCCUAUCACAUUUUCCCACAACUCUCCCCUCUUCAUCAAAUCUAGUAUAAAAAUACUCAAGUGUAACUGUUUCUUUGGGUCUUUAUUUGCUUGUAAAAAACUGCUGU